rnacentral:rRNA from 1 species
GACGGGGGGGGCAAGUGUUCUUCGGAAUGACUGGGCGUAAAGAGCGUGUAGGCGGCUUUACAGGUCCGUUGUGAAAACUCGAGGCUCAACCUCGAGACGCCGGUGGAAACCGUAAGGCUAGAGUCCGGAAGAGGAGAGUGGAAUUCCUGGUGUAGCGGUGAAAUGCGCAGAUAUCAGGAGGAACACCAGCGGCGAAGGCGGCGCGCUGGGCCGGUACUGACGCUGAGGAGCGAAAGCGUGGGUAGCAAACAGG